rnacentral:rRNA from 1 species
AUGGAAAAAAUCGCAGAAAACCGAACUAUUAUACAAUACUUACCUUAUGUAACAAGGUGGGAUUAUUUAGCUACUAUGUUUACAGAAGCAAUAACAGUAAAUGCACCAAAAUUCUUGGAGAAUAUUCAAAUACCACAAAGAGCCAGCUAUAUUAGGGUAAUUAUGUUAGAAUUAAGCCGGAUAGCUUCUCACUUGCUAUGGCUUGGACCUUUUAUGGCGGAUAUCGGCGCACAGACUCCUUUUUUCUAUAUUUUUAGAGAGAGAGAAUUAAUAUAUGAUCUAUUUGAAGCUGCUACAGGUAUGCGAAUGAUGCACAAUAACUUUCGCAUCGGAGGAGUAGCCGCCGAUCUACCUUAUGGAUGGAUCGAAAAAUGUUUAGAUUUCUGUGAUUAUUUUUUACACAGAGUUGUUGAAUAUCAACAACUUAUUACACAGAAUCCAAUUUUUUUAGAGCGAGUUGAAGGAGUAGGUUUUAUUAGCAGAGAAGAAGCAGUAAAUUGGGGUUUAUCGGGACCGAUGUUACGAGCUUCUGGAAUACAAUGGGAUCUUCGUAAAGUAGAUCCUUAUGAGUCUUACAACCAAUUUGAUUGGAAAGUCCAAUGGCAAAAAGAAGGGGAUUCGUUAGCUCGCUAUUUAGUACGAGUUGGUGAAAUGAGGGAAUCCAUCAAAAUAAUUCAACAAGCUGUAGAAAAAAUUCCUGGAGGACCUUAUGAGAAUUUAGAAGUACGACGCUUUAAGAAAGAAAAGAAUUCUGAAUGGAAUGAUUUGGAGUAUAAAUUUAUUGGUAAAAAACCUUCGCCCAAUUUUGAAUUGUCAAGACAAGAGCUUUAUGUAAGAGUAGAAGCCCCAAAAGGUGAAUUAGGGAUUUAUCUAGUAGGAGAUGAUAGCCUUUUCCCCUGGAGAUGGAAAAUCCGUCCACCCAGGUUUAUUAAUUUGCAAAUUCUUCCUCAGCUAGUUAAAAACAUGAAAUUGGCUGAUAUCAUGACGAUAUUAAGUAGUAUAGAUAUCAUUAUGGGGGAAGUUGAUCGUUGA